AUUGAACGCUGGCGGCAGGCCUAACACAUGCAAGUCGAACGAGUGGCGGACAGGGGAGUGAUGUAUGUGAAACUGCCUGAUGGAGGGGGAUAACUACUGGAAACGGUAGCUAAUACCGCAUACCAGCGGAUGUGCGGAGAUGGGAUUAGUUAGUAGGUGGGGUAAAGGCUCACCUAGGCGACGAUCCCUAGCUGGUCUGAGAGGAUGACCAGCCACCCUGGAACGGAGACACGGUCCAGACUCCUAUGCGAGGCAGCAGAGGGGAAUAUUGCACAAUGGGCGCAAGCCUGAUGCAGCCAUGCCGCGUGUAUGAAGAAGGCCUUCGGGUUGUAAAGUACUUUUAGCGGGGAGGCGUUACCCGAAGAAGAAGCACCGGCUAACUCCGUGCCAGCAGCCGCGGUAAUUC
rnacentral:rRNA from 1 species